UGAGCAAUCUGCCCUUCUCAUCGGAAUAAGCGUUGGAAACGACGUCUAAUGCCGAAUACGACCUCCUUUCGCAUGAUCGGAGGUGGAAAGCUCCGGCGGAGAAGGAUGAGCUCGCGGCCUAUCAGCUUGUUGGUGGGGUCAUGGCUCACCAAGGCGACGACGGGUAGCUGGUCUGAGAGGACGACCAGCCACACUGGAACUGAGAUACGGCCCAGAUCCGUAACGGG
rnacentral:rRNA from 1 species